rnacentral:rRNA from 1 species
GAUGAACGCUGGCGGCGUGCUUAACACAUGCAAGUCGAACGGGAAUUAUUUUAUUGCAACUUCGGUCGAAUUAAUUUAAUUCUAGUGGCGGACGGGUGAGUAACGCGUGGGUAACCUGCCUUAUACAGGGGGAUAACAGUCAGAAAUGGCUGCUAAUACCGCAUAAGCGCACAGAGCUGCAUGGCUCAGUGUGAAAAACUCCGGUGGUAUAAGAUGGACCCGCGUUGGAUUAGCUGGUUGGUGGGGUAACGGCCCACCAAGGCGACGAUCCAUAGCCGGCCUGAGAGGGUGAACGGCCACAUUGGGACUGAGACACGGCCCAGACUCCUACGGGAGGCAGCAGUGGGGAAUAUUGCACAAUGGGGGAAACCCUGAUGCAGCGACGCCGCGUGAAGGAAGAAGUAUCUCGGUAUGUAAACUUCUAUCAGCAGGGAAGAUAGUGACGGUACCUGACUAAGAAGCCCCGGCUAACUACGUG